GGGGUGGCAGCGGCACUCGAAGCCGCCCAUGGUGUUGACGCAGAGCUGCUCGCACAGCCCGGGCUCGCUGGCGCAGUCGUCGUUGUCCUCGCAGGAGCUGCCGUCGGCGCCCAGCCUCCUCCCGGGGCACCAGGGGUCCCACUCCCAGGGUAUCAUCUCCCUUUCCCUGUGGGCACCUCCAGCUGUCCCAUUCCCUGUGUUAUCUUUGGGGGAUCUGUCUCUGCUGCCAGGACACAGCCAGGAGGCAAAGUAAAAAUGAAAACCAAACAUCCAAAGCUUCUCCGCCCCAAAGGAAAGGCUUCAGCUCUGCCACACGCUUGGAAAAUCAGCGUCCAUUGGAUUUAAUUCCAGAGGCAGGGAUGCAGCCCAAGGAGAAAGGCCGGAGGGACAGAUUGGUGUCCAUGUGUGUGAGCUUGCAGUGGCCGUUCCUGGGAUAAAGAAUUCAUCCAAGGAGAGCUCAGCCACCCCCCAUCCCCUCAAAAUGAGGACAGGAUCAUUCCCAGGGCUUCCCUGGAGAGCUGGGUAACACUGACCUUCCUUGGCUUUAGUAAAACCUCUUGCUUCCCCAGUUUUCACUUCAGUUCUUCUUUUCACUUUCAAUU